rnacentral:rRNA from 1 species
AUACGGAGGAUCCAAGCGCUAUCCGGAUUUAUUGGGUUUAAAGGGAGCGUAGAUGGAUGUUUAAGUCAGUUGUGAAAGUUCGGGGCUCAACCCCGUAAUUGCAGUUGAUACUGGAUAUCUUGAGUACAGUUGAGGUAGGCGGAAUUCGUGGUGUAGCGGUGAAAUGCUUAGAUAUCACGAAGAACUCCGAUUGCGAAGGCAGCUUACCAAGCUACAACUGACACUGAAGCACGAAAGCGUGGGGAUC